GUCAGGAUGGCCGAGGUGGUCUAAGGCGCUGCGUUUAGGUCACAGUCUCCACUGGAGGCGUGGGUUCUAAUCCCACUUCUGACA